AUACGGAGGAUCCGAGCGUUAUCCGGAUUUAUUGGGUUUAAAGGGUGCGCAGGCGGCCAUUUAAGUCAGCGGUUAAAUCGUGGGGCUCAACCCCAUUCUGCCGUUGAUACUGGGUGGCUUGAUUGCGGUCGAGGUUGGCGGAAUUCGUUGUGUAGCGGUGAAGUGCAUAGAUAUGACGAAGAACACCGAUUGCGUAGGCAGCUGACCAGACCGCAAAUGACGCUCAUGCACGAAAGUGCGGGGAUCGAACAGGAUUAGAUACCCUGGUAGUCCGCACAGUAAACGAUGAAUACUUGUUUUCGGCGAUAUAAUGUCGGAGGCAAAGCGAAAGCGAUAAGUAUUCCACCUGGGGAGUACGCCGGCAACGGUGAAACUCAAAGGAAUUGACGGGG
rnacentral:rRNA from 1 species